rnacentral:rRNA from 1 species
AACCUGCUAAAGGAGACCAGCCAGGUGACAAAACCGGAGGAAGGUGGGGAUGACGUCAAGUCAUCAGGGCCCUUACGGCCAGGGCUACACUACGUACUACAAUGGUAGGGACAGUAGGGCUGACAAGCCGGCGACGGUAAGCCAAAUCCCAGAAACCCUAUCUCAGUCCGGAUUGGAGUCUGCAACUCGACUCCAUGAAGUCGGAAUCGCUAGUAAUCGCAGAUCAGCAUUGCUGCGGUGAAUACGUUCCCGGGCCUUGUACACACCGCCCGUCACACCAUGGGAGUUUGUUGCACCAGAAGCAGGUAGCUUAACCUUCGGGAGGGCGCUUGCCACGGUGUGGCCGAUGACUGGGGUGAAGUCGUAACAAGGUAGCCGUAUGCGGAAGGUGCGGCUGGAUCACCUCAAUAAUCUGAGAUGCAUUCGCGAGUACGAUAAGUUC